rfam:Ixodes scapularis strain Wikel colony gcontig_1107728778986, whole genome shotgun sequence.
GCCGGGAUGGCCUAAUCGGUUAAGGUGUCGCACCCGGAUAGGCGAGGCUUGCGAGUUCGAUCCCCGUUCCUCGCU